CAAAACAAAAGCCCAGGGCAGGUGGGAGGGGAGCACUGCCUCUGCUGCUGCUGCAGGACUGCUGCCCCAUGCUGCUGCAGGUAAAGGCAUUGCUUUCUCUACGACUUUCCCUUCUUCUCCUGAGGGCUGAGCCAGCUUGAGACAAUCACAGAGGUUUUGGUGGAGGGCUCAUCCGUCACUGCUGGGGAUUGCCUAAGGACACCCAGGGCCGGCUGCCCUGAUGCCCAAGCCUGGAUGGAGCCUUCCUUCAGCGCCUUGGGGAAGACAAAGGAAUUCAUCAGGCACGGCCGUGAGAGGAUAGAACAAACCAUCAAGGCGUCCGGCUCCAGGCUCUGCUCAUAGUGAGUAUGGAACCCACUGAGUCCGGGAGCCCUUUA